UGGGGAAUAUUGGACAAUGGGCGCAAGCCUGAUCCAGCCAUGCCGCGUGAGUGAUGAAGGCCCUAGGGUUGUAAAGCUCUUUCACCGGUGAAGAUAAUGACGGUAACCGGAGAAGAAGCCCCGGCUAACUUCGUGCCAGCAGCCGCGGUAAUACGAAGGGGGCUAGCGUUGUUCGGAAUUACUGGGCGUAAAGCGCACGUAGGCGGACAUUUAAGUCAGGGGUGAAAUCCCAGAGCUCAACUCUGGAACUGCCUUUGAUACUGGGUGUCUAGAGUAUGGAAGAGGUGAGUGGAAUUCCGAGUGUAGAGGUGAAAUUCGUAGAUAUUCGGAGGAACACCAGUGGCGAAGGCGGCUCACUGGUCCAUUACUGACGCUGAGGUGCGAAAGCGUGGGGAGCAAACAGG
rnacentral:rRNA from 1 species